GGAGGGAUGCGUGAGCGGUUGAAACGGGCGGUCUUGAAAACCGCUGUACGGGAAACCGUACCGGGGGUUCGAAUCCCUCUCCCUCCGCCA
rnacentral:tRNA from 1 species